rnacentral:rRNA from 1 species
AGGGUUUGAUCAUGGCUCAGAUUGAACGCUGGCGGCAUGCCUUACACAUGCAAGUCGAACGGCAGCACGGGGGCAACCCUGGUGGCGAGUGGCGAACGGGUGAGUAAUACAUCGGAACGUGUCCUGUAGUGGGGGAUAGCCCGGCGAAAGCCGGAUUAAUACCGCAUACGCUCUGCGGAGGAAAGCGGGGGCUCCUUCGGGACCUCGCGCUACAGGGGCGGCCGAUGGCAGAUUAGCUAGUUGGUGGGGUAAAGGCCUACCAAGGCGACGAUCUGUAGCUGGUCUGAGAGGACGACCAGCCACACUGGGACUGAGACACGGCCCAGACUCCUACGGGAGGCAGCAGUGGGGAAUUUUGGACAAUGGGCGCAAGCCUGAUCCAGCAAUGCCGCGUGUGUGAAGAAGGCCUUCGGGUUGUAAAGCACUUUUGUCCGGAAAGAAAACCUCAGCCCUAAUACGGCGGGGGGAUGACGGUACCGGAAGAAUAAGCACCGGCUAACUACGUGUCAGCAGCCGCGGUAAUACGUAGGGUGCAAGCGUUAAUCGGAAUUACUGGGCGUAGAGCGUGCGCAGGCGGUCCGCUAAGACAGAUGUGAAAUCCCCGGGCUUAACCUGGGAACUGCAUUUGUGACUGGCGGGCUAGAGUAUGGCAGAGGGGGGUAGAAUUCCACGUGUAGCAGUGAAAUGCGUAGAGAUGUGGAGGAAUACCGAUGGCGAAGGCAGCCCCCUGGGCCAAUACUGACGCUCAUGCACGAAAGCGUGGGGAGCAAACAGGAUUAGAUACCCUGGUAGUCCACGCCCUAAACGAUGUCAACUAGUUGUCGGGCCUUCAUUGGCUUGGUAACGUAGCUAACGCGUGAAGUUGACCGCCUGGGGAGUACGGUCGCAAGAUUAAACUCAAAGGAAUUGACGGGGACCCGCACAAGCGGUGGAUGAUGUGGAUUAAUU